UACAGAGGUGGCAAGCGUUGUUCGGAAUUACUGGGCGUAAAGGGCGCGUAGGCGGCCUUCUAAGUCAGACGUGAAAUCCCUCAGCUUAACUGGGGAACUGCGUCUGAAACUGAUCGGCUCGAGUGCAGGAGAGGAACGCGGAAUUCCAGGUGUAGCGGUGAAAUGCGUAGAUAUCUGGAGGAACACCGGUGGCGAAGGCGGCGUUCUGGACUGCAACUGACACUGUAAAACGAAAGCCAGGGGAGCAAACGGG
rnacentral:rRNA from 1 species